UACGUAGGGUCCGAGCGUUGUCCGGAAUUACUGGGCGUAAAGAGCUCGUAGGUGGUUUGUCGCGUUGUCCGUGAAAACUCACAGCUCAACUGUGGGCGUGCAGGCGAUACGGGCAGACUUGAGUACUGCAGGGGAGACUGGAAUUCCUGGUGUAGCGGUGAAAUGCGCAGAUAUCAGGAGGAACACCGGUGGCGAAGGCGGGUCUCUGGGCAGUAACUGACGCUGAGGAGCGAAAGCGUGGGGAGCGAACAGG
rnacentral:rRNA from 1 species